rnacentral:rRNA from 1 species
AAACUUUCAACAACGGAUCUCUUGGUUCUGGCAUCGAUGAAGAACGCAGCGAAAUGCGAUAAGUAAUGUGAAUUGCAGAAUUCAGUGAAUCAUCGAAUCUUUGAACGCACAUUGCGCCCGUCAGUAUUCUGGCGGGCUUGCCUGUUCGAGCGUCAUUA